rnacentral:rRNA from 1 species
ACGAACGCUGGCGGCAUGCCUAACACAUGCAAGUCGAACGAGAAAGACUUUCGGGUUGAGUAAAGUGGCGCACGGGUGAGUAACACGCAGAUAACCUGCCCUCGAGUUUGGAAUAACCUUCCGAAAGGAUGGCUAAUACCGGAUAAUAGGUUCUCUUUUCAAGGGGGAGCUUUGAAAGCUCAGGCGCUUGGGGGGGGGUCUGCGUCCCAUUAGCUAGUUGGUGGGGUAACGGCUUACCAAGGCGAUGAUGGGUAGCGGGUUUGAGAGGAUGAUCCGCCACACUGGCACUGAGACACGGGCCAGACUCCUACGGGAGGCAGCAGUGGGGAAUCUUGCGCAAUGGGCGAAAGCCUGACGCAGCAAUGCCGCGUGAGUGAAGAAGGUUUUCGGAUCGUAAAGCUCUUUAUCUCUGUGAAGAUGAUGACGGUAGCAGAGGAAUAAGCACCGGCUAACUACGU